rnacentral:RNase_P_RNA from 1 species
GGAGUUGAGUAGGCAAUCGCGUGGUUUUACCACGAGGAAAGUCCGGCCUCCGCAGGAAAGGGUGGUGGUUAACAGCCACCGAGGGUGACCUCAGGGAAAGUGCCACAGAAAGCAAACCGCCUCGUAGAGGUAAGGGUGAAAAGGUGAGGUAAGAGCUCACCGCAUGACAGGUGACUGUCAUGGCAGGGCAAACCCCACCUGGAGCAAACUCAAGCAGUCGUCUUAUUCCUGUAUAUGGCGGCGGGUAGAGCGCUCGAGUUUUUCAGCAAUGAAAAACCUAGAUGGAUGAUUGCCCAAGACAGAAGCCGGCUUAUCGCUCAACUCCACUU